GACUUGUGUUCUUUAGAAAACAAGUGAUUCAAUUGUAGCUUCAGAUUUUUAUUGAUAUUUCCGUACCGCGCGGGAAUAACUUGACAUCUCGACCUGCACUUUUUUUUUUUUAUUAGCUUAAACGUUUCCUCUACCUUAUACCCUUCUGGUAUAAAAAACUCAACUCGAAAUACCCAAAAAUACUUGAAAUACAGCUCUUGUUCAUAAGUAAAUAUCUCUAAUUUAGGCAAUAAAUAUUUGACAUAACGAUAUAUCCAAUUAAUAUUAUUCGUACAAACAUUUAUAUUUCGAUUUAUCAAUGUAUGUCAGAACAUGUAUUUGUUAAUAUCUUGACUUAUACAUUUAUGGAUUUUCGUUUUUAAUUUGACAAAAACAGUUAUCAAGUUAUGAUCCCCUCUGAGUACUAAACAUAUCCAUGAUAUGUGCAGUUGUCUAGUUAUGCACACUGUCAAGAGUUUGGAUAUUUGGAGUUAUCCAGCUAUUACAUUCGUAUAAUCAUAUUUUUAUAUGUGUCAUUAGCAGUUUUUAAAAUAUAACAUUGUCAGGA